rnacentral:lncRNA from 1 species
GAUGCCGUGUCUUUCCAACACAAGGAGUGCUGUGCGUAUCUGAGCCACUGAUGUGAGAAGGCUCGUAACUUUAACGGCAUCCUUUAUCAGUUGUCAUGACUCUGGGCUUUGAAACUCCUUACACCUAGGAAGGGACAAAAUAAAAGAGUCCAUGUCACCAGAGAUACAGGCAAACCCAUAACACAGGAAGAUCAUCCUUUUUAGAAACUUUUGCAUUGACGCGAAGCCACCUGUGGCUUGUCACUCUAGGUAAAUGACACAUCUCAACUUCGUUUGCCAGCUGUACUUAAAGAUUUUGGCUUUAUGGUUUUAUAAAAA